rnacentral:rRNA from 1 species
UGGGGAAUAUUGCACAAUGGAGGAAACUCUGAUGCAGCGACGCCGCGUGAACGAUGAAGGCUUUCGGGUCGUAAAGUUCUGUCCUAGGGGACGAUAAUGACGGUACCCUAGGAGGAAGCCCCGGCUAACUACGUGCCAGCAGCCGCGGUAAUACGUAGGGGGCGAGCGUUGUCCGGAUUUAUUGGGCGUAAAGGGUUCGCAGGCGGCCUUUUAAGUCAGAUGUGAAAGAUCAAGGCUUAACCUUGGUAAGCAUUUGAAACUGAAGGGCUUGAGUUAAGGAGAGGAAAGUGGAAUUCCUAGUGUAGCGGUGAAAUGCGUAGAUAUUAGGAGGAAUACCAGUGGCGAAGGCGACUUUCUGGACUUAUACUGACGCUGAGGAACGAAAGCAUGGGGAGCAAACAGG